rnacentral:misc_RNA from 1 species
CUUCGCAUACUUGCCAUCCACCAAAG